AUUGAACGCUGGCGGCAGGCCUAACACAUGCAAGUCGAGCGGAACGGCGGACGGGUGAGUAAUGCCUAUGAAUCUGCCUGGUAGUUGGGGAUAACGACCGGAAACGAGCGCUAAUACCGCAUACUAUCAAACAAGCCUAGGUCGGAUUAGCUAGUUGGUGGGGGAAAGGCCUACACAGGCAACGAUCCGUAACUGGUCUGAGGGGGGGAUCAGCCACACUGGAACGUAGACACGUUCCAGACUCCUACGGGAGGCAGCAGUGGGGAAUAUUGGACAAUGGGCGAAAGCCUGAUCCAGCCAUGCCGCGUGUGUGAAGAAGGUCUUCGGAUUGUAAAGCACUUUAAGUUGGGAGGCGUUACCAACAGAAUAAGCACCGGCUAACUUCGUGCCAGCCGCCGCGGUAAUAC
rnacentral:rRNA from 1 species